rnacentral:lncRNA from 1 species
AGUGACAGCGAUAACUGUGGUUUUGUAGUGUUUAGAGGGCAGUUUUCUUUUUGGAUCUCGGAGGACCAAAAGAUAAAGAAAGUGUAAGGUCAAAAUCUUCUUCAUCUUCACCUUCCAAAUCUUGCUGGCUAAUGAUGUUGUUGCUGCUGCUGCUGCUGCUUUGCUUUCUCUUCGUGGAGAUCUCUUGCUUAUUGGUUUCUAAAUCUUGUCGGCUUUUCAUGGUGUGAGUAAAAGAGGGAGAGAGGAAAACGAGAGAGAUGGAAUUUGAAAGGACAAUAAAAAUUGGAGAUAUAGUUAUGGAAGCAGAAUAUAUAAGAUAAAAAAGAGACUACUGGUCAUCUUUCUCUGUGUUUGUUAUGCUGUUCUUCCCCUACCGGCCGGUCACCUUUUUUACUGGGUCUUUUUCACUCUGUCUCAGCAAGUCUAUAAUUUAAUAAAAUCAAAGUUUGAAGAAGAUUUGAAAAUUUGUUUCACAUCUUUUAUC